CAGCUGCAUCCCCAAGGCACCCUGGUGAAAAUGAAGGUCAGAAUAAAUGGCUUUGGUCGUAUUGUGCGCCUGGUCACCAGGGCUGCUUUUAACUCUGGCAAAGUGGAUAUUGUUGUCAUCAAUGACCCCUUCAUUGACCUCAACUACAUGGUCUACAUGUUCCAGUAUGAUUCCACCCACGGCAAAUUCCAUGGCACAGUCAAGGCUGAGAACAGGAAGCUUGUCAUCAAUGGAAAUCCCAUAAUCAUCUGCCAGGAGCGAGAUCCCACCAAAAUCAAAUGGGGUGAGGCAGGCGCUGAGUAUGUUGUGGAGUCCACGGCUGGGGCUCACCUACAGGGGGGGUGCCAAAGGAGUCACCAUCUCUGCCCUUUCUGCUGAUGCUCCCAUGCUUUUGAUGGAUAUGAACCACGAGAAGUACGAAAACAGCCUCAGAUUGUCAGCAAUGACUCCUGCACCACCAACUGCUUAGACCCCUUGGCUAAGGUCAUCCGUGACUUCAGCAUUGUGGAGGGACUCAUGACCACAGUCCAUGCCAUCGCUGCUACCCAGAAGACUGUGAAUGGCCCCUCUGGGAAGUUGUGGUGUGAUGGUUAUGAGACUCUCCAGAACAUCAUCCUGCCUCAACUGGUGCAGCCAAAGCUGUGAGCAAGGUCAUGCCUGAGCUGAAUGGGAAGCUCACUGGCAUGACCUUCCAUGUCCCCACUGCCAAUGUAUUGGUCAUGGAUCUCAUCUGCCGUCUGGGGAAGGCUGCCAAAUACCAUAAUAUCAAGAAGGUGGUGAAGCAGGCAUCAGAGGGCCCCCUCAAGGGCAUCCUGGGUUACACAGAGCACCAGGUUGUCUCCUCUGACUUUAACAGUGACACCCAUUCUUCCACCUUUGAUGCUGGGGCUGGCAGUGACCUCAAUGACAACUUUGUCAAACUCAUUGCCUGGUAUAAUAAUGAAUUUGGCUACAGCAACAGGGUGGUGGAUCUUAUGGCCCACAUGGCCUCCAAGACCACCAGCCCCCCAGACCACCAGCCCCAGCCAGACCAUGAGAGGGAGAAAAAGGCCCUUAGCUGCUGGGGUGCCCCUGCCUACUCAGUCCCCACCUCACCAAGAAUCUUCCCUCGACACAGUUUCCACACCAGACCCCCUAAAGAAUGGGAGGGGCCUAGGGAGCCCCACCUUGUCAUGUAA